AGAGCGAACGCUGGCGGCAUGCCUUACACAUGCAAGUCGAACGGCAGCACGGGGGUAACCCUGGUGGCGAGUGGCGAACGGGUGAGUAAUACAUCGGAACGUGUCCUGUAGUGGGGGAUAGCCCGGCGAAAGCCGGAUUAAUACCGCAUACGAUCUACGGAAGAAAGCGGGGGAUCCUUCGGGACCUCGCGCUAUAGGGGCGGCCGAUGGCAGAUUAGCUAGUUGGUGGGGUAAAGGCCUACCAAGGCGACGACGGGUAGCCGG
rnacentral:rRNA from 1 species